GCUCGCGGGGCGCGCGUCGGUGCUGCUGCGGAACGACGUGUCUUGCGCGUGUCGUUUCCGAUGGGUUUGAUGAUAACGACUGUUGUUGCUUUUAAUAUUACCGGCGGACAGUAAGUGGUUACCGGAAAGCGUCUUAUCAGUCACAAGCCUAGGAACACCGAUCAAAGCUCCACGAUUUGGCCCACGGUCAGCGAGCAAGAUGGCUUUCCUGAACUGAAGAAACAGGACAUAAACUGAAAAGUCUCGCUGACUUCAGCUUACUGAAACAACCUGACAAUGGAGCCUGUAACUAUCCAGCUCUUGGAGAGCAUUGCCAAGGACAAGGAUGCCUGCAGCCUGAUGGCAUCACUCUUCCAGACAGUCACCAGUGAUAUGAAGGGCUCCCAACCGGUGUGGGAGGACUUCGCCAAGCAGGCCAACAAGCUGCACAUAUGCCUCAGGUGAGUGGCGCUCGGUCGGCGGUGGCCGGUGUCGCCGGUGCGAACACCGCAAGACCUGUCCCGCCGGACAUGCUGUGGAGUGUGCACGCAGCGAGAAGUGGUCCCUGACACGCUGUCGUGGUGUCACGUGGUGUCACGUGCGACACGAUCGCCUGUCGGGCGGUCUUUUGGUGCGCUGAGCGCUUGUGUGAAUAGUUUCGGACCCCUCUGGCGCUCCAGUGUCGCGGAGGGAUCGUCGGAACACUGGCGCGGGCGUGGGCUUCGCGAAGCGGCUCCUGGCUCGAUGUCGUGACUCGAGAAAUGUCGGCAACGGGUUUGGCUCAGGCCUCAGUCGCCGGCGCCGCCUGCAUGUUUCAUCACUGAUCGACCGAGACGCCGCCGCACCGUCGCACCGGGACCGUUUGGGAGCCACAAAGUGGUUCGGCACGGAGCCCAGCUGGGCGGGCGCGGACGAGCGCUCCUC